UAACAGUAGAUGUCAUUGGUGAGGAC
rnacentral:piRNA from 1 species